GACGAACGCUGGCGGCGUGCUUAACACAUGCAAGUCGAACGGAAAGGCCCUGCUUUUGUGGGGUGCUCGAGUGGCGAACGGGUGAGUAACACGUGAGUAACCUGCCCUUGACUUUGGGAUAACUUCAGGAAACUGGGGCUAAUACCGGAUAGGAGCCCCUGCUGCAUGGUGGGGGUUGGAAAGUUUCGGCGGUUGGGGAUGGACUUGCGGCUUAUCAGCUUGUUGGUGGGGUAGUGGCUUACCAAGGCUUUGACGGGUUGCCGGCCUGAGAGGGUGACCGGCCACAUUGGGACUGAGAUACGGCCCAGACUCCUACGGGAGACAGCGGUGGGGAAUAUUGCACAAGGGGCGGAAGCCUGAUGCAGCAACGCCGCGUGCGGGAUGACGGCCUUCGGGUUGUAAACCGCUUUCGCCUGUGACGAAGCGUGAGUGACGGUAAUGGGUAAAGAAGCACCGGCUAACUACGUG
rnacentral:rRNA from 1 species